rnacentral:rRNA from 1 species
CCUACGGGUGGCAGCAGUGGGGAAUAUUGGACAAUGGGGGGAACCCUGAUCCAGCGACGCCGCGUGAGUGAAGAAGUAUUUCGGUAUGUAAAGCUCUAUCAGCCGGGAAGAAAGAAAUGACGGUACCUGACCAAGAAGCCCCGGCUAACUACGUGCCAGCAGCCGCGGUAAUACGUAGGGGGCAAGCGUUAUCCGGAUUUACUGGGGGUAAAGGGAGCGUAGACGGUUACGCAAGUCUGGAGUGAAAGGCGGGGGCCCAACCCCGGGACUGCUUUGGAAACUGUAUAAAUGGAGUGCAGGAGAGGUAAGUGGAAUUCCUAGUGUAGCGGUGAAAUGCGUAGAUAUUAGGAGGAACACCAGUGGCGAAGGCGGCUUACUGGACUGUAACUGACGUUGAGGCUCGAAAGCGUGGGGAGCAAACAGGAUUAGAUACCCCAGUAGUC